rnacentral:rRNA from 1 species
CAACUUUAUUGUUGUUUGAAUGUGGACUUGGAUGUUGCCGUUUUAUCACGGCUCGUCYUAAAUGCCUGAGUGUACCCUGUUUUGCAGCGUAUCCAGUGUAAUAAACAUUUCACUAGAGUUGGUCGAAAGACCGCGUUGACUAUAUGGGCUCUAUGCUUCAAACCGUCURCYMUGUGGACAAUUUCUUGACAAUUUGACCUCAAAUCGGGUGGGACUACCCGCUGAACUUAAGCAUAUCAAUAAGCGGAGGAAAAGAAACUAACAAGGAUUCCCCUAGUAACGGCGAGUGAAGAGGGAAAAGCUCAAAUUUUGAAUCUGGUGUCUUUGACUCCCGAGUUGUAAUCUAGAGAAGUGUUUUCCGUGUCGGACCGUGUACAAGUUCCCUGGAACGGGGCGUCAUAGAGGGUGAGAAUCCCGUAUAUGCCACGGACUACCGAUGCUCUGUGAUACACUCUCAACGAGUCGAGUUGUUUGGGAAUGCAGCUCAAAAUGGGUGGUAAAUUCCAUCUAAAGCUAAAUAUUGGCGAGAGACCGAUAGCGAACAAGUACCGUGAGGGAAAGAUGAAAAGCACUUUGGAAAGAGAGUGAAACAGUACGUGAAAUUGUUGAAAGGGAAGCGUUUGAAGUCAGUCGCAUCUGUUGGGGUUCAGCCUGGCUUUUGCCUGGUGUAUUUCCUUUCCGAUGGGUCAGCAUCAGUUUCGACCGAGGGAAAAAGACAUUUGGAAUGUGGCUGUCUUCGGGCAGUGUUAUAGCCUUGUGUUGUAUGUCUCGGUUGGGACUGAGGAUUGCAGCGCGCCAUAAAUGGCCGGGGGUCGCUCCUCUCGACACGCGCUUAGGAUGCUGGCAUAAUGGCUUUAAGCGACC